rnacentral:rRNA from 1 species
AACGUAGGUGGCAAGCGUUAUCCGGAUUUACUGGGCGUAAAGCGUGUGCAGGCGGACGGCCAAGUGGUGUAUGAAAUCUUGAGGCUUAACCUGGAGAGGGUAUGCCAGACUGGUCGACUAGAACGUGAGAGAGGGACGUGGAAUUCCGGGAGUAGUGGUGAAAUGCGUAGAGAUCCGGAGGAACACCAGAGGCGAAAGCGGCGUCCUGGCUCACUGUUGACGCUCAGACACGAAAGCAUGGGGAGCGAACGGG